AUACGGAGGGUGCGAGCGUUAUCCGGAUUUAUUAGGUUUAAAGGGUGUGUAGGCGGGAGCCUAAGUCAGUGGUGAAAUCUCACAGCUUAACUGUGAAACUGCCAUUGAAACUGGGUUUCUUGAGUAUAGUGGAGGUAGGCGGAAUGUGUAAUGUAGCGGUGAAAUGCAUAGAUAUUACACAGAACACCGAUUGCGAAGGCGGCUUACUAAGCUAUUACUGACGCUGAUGCACGAAAGCGUGGGUAGCGAACAGGAUUAGAAACCCGGGUAGUCC
rnacentral:rRNA from 1 species